CCAAUCGAACUCGGAGAUAGCUGGUUCUCCCCGAAAUAGCUUUAGGGCUAGCGUUGUGUUAGUUUACCGGAGGUAGAGCACUGAAUAGGCUAGGGGGCGAUGAGCUUACUGAACCUUAUCAAACUUCGAAUGCCGGAUAAAUGGUGCACAGCAGUCAGACAGUGUGAGAUAAGUUUCAUUGUCAAGAGGGAAACAGCCCAGACCCACAGCUAAGGUCCCAAAUGAACGCUAAGUGGAAAACGAUGUGGGGUUGCAAAAACAACCAGGAUGUUGGCUUAGAGGCAGCCACUCAUUAAAAGAGUGCGUAAUAGCUCACUGGUCGAGUGACCCUGCGCGGAAAAUAUAACGGGGCUAAGCGUCCAACCGAAGCUUGGGAUGUCUUAAUGACAUGGUAGGGGAGCGUCGUGUACGGGGUGAAGCAUGAGCGAGAGCACAUGUGGACUUUACACGAGUGAGAAUGCCGGAAUGAGUAGCGAGAAUUAUGUGGGAAUCAUAAUGGCCGAAAAUCUAAGGUUUCUUGGGGAAGGUUCGUCCGCCCAAGGUAAGCCGGGAGCUAAGGCGAGGCCGAAAGGCGUAGUCGAUGCACAUACGGUUGAAAUUCCGUAGCCGCCGAAAUUGUUAAGCACAGGGACACAUAGAGAUAUCCGAACCCGGGCGUUGGUUGACCCGGGCGCAAGGGACCGAACAUCAGUAGGGAAGUCGGAGAUGCUCUGUGGCGAGAAAAGCUGUGCGUAUUGAUUAGGCGCCCGUACCGCAAACCGACACAGGUAGAUGAGGAGAGAAUCCUAAGGCCAACGGGAGAAGGGUUGUUAAGGAACUCGGCAAAUUGACCCCGUAACUUCGGGAUAAGGGGAGCCUCCUACGGGAGGCCGCAGUGAAUAGGCCCAAGCAACUGUUUACCAAAAACACAGGUCUCUGCUAAAUCGAAAGAUGACGUAUAGGGGCUGACGCCUGCCCGGUGCCGGAAGGUUAAGAGGAGAGCUUAGCGCAAGCGAAGGUUCGAAUUGAAGCCCCGGUAAACGGCGGCCGUAACUAUAACGGUCCUAAGGUAGCGAAAUUCCUUGUCAGGUAAGUUCUGACCCGCACGAAUGGCGUAAUGAUUUGGGCACUGUCUCAACAGCCCGCCCGGCGAAAUUGUAGUACUGGUGAAGAUGCCAGUUACCCGCAACUAGACGGAAAGACCCCAUGGAGCUUUACUGUAGCUUAAUACUGAAGAUCGGUAAUGCAUGUACAGGAUAGGUGGGAGCCUAGGAAACCCGGGCGUCAGCUUGGGCGGAGGCAACCUUGGAAUACCACCCUUGUAUUGCUGGUUUUCUAACCUGCGGCCAUGAAUCUGGUCGGGGGACACUGUUAGGUGGGCAGUUUGACUGGGGCGGUCGCCUCCAAAAGCGUAACGGAGGCGCUCAAAGGUUGGCUCAGCACGGACGGAAAUCGUGCAUAGAGUGCAAACGCAUAAGCCAACUUGACUGCGAGACCGACGGGUCGAGCAGGUACGAAAGUAGGAGUUAGUGAUCCGGUGGUAUGUGAGUGGAAAUGCCAUCGCUCAACGGAUAAAA
rnacentral:rRNA from 1 species